ensembl:lncRNA
GCCGAGGAUUACUUUUUCCUAGCAUUAGAUACAAUUCUUAUUCAAAUUAAAUAUUAAUUGAGAAAAGCAAAAUGUGGUAUUUUAGGUUAACAUUACGUUUGAUACUUUGAUCAAAAAUUGCCCAAUAACAUAAAUUAUUAGAGUAAAUGUAAAAAAAAAAAAAAAAAAAAAAAACAAUUUGAAAGCUAAGCCGAGUGACACUUUUGAAAACACCUAACGCAAGGAAGCUAAUGCACUGAGGGGAAAAAACAGCCGAAAAGAGCAGAUCAUUCAGGGAACUGGCAAUCUGGAAGAGACCACUCUCAUCAGGAUAAAAGAGUUUCAUCAGUACAACAGAGCCCCAGGAUGCCCUCACUGUAGCUCCGUUUCUUGAGUGUAGGUCAGGCUCCUUUCACCUUGCUCAGAGAUUUUUGAAACCUCAUUAGCAGCCGACGCGUGAAAGGCUGGAGACCUCGACCUGACCCGCUGGAGAAUGGCGUGUGUGUUAAAUGGUUUACCCCAUGAGGAGUGGGGAGAGGUUCAGGAGUUCAGUGGAGGGGGGUACACCCAACCCUUUUCAACUGCUACCCUUGACCACCCAUAAUUUCUCCCACUUGGUUAUACCUUGAUGACUAUGGGCCCA